rnacentral:rRNA from 1 species
GGGGAAUAUUGCACAAUGGGGGAAACCCUGAUGCAGCAACGCCGCGUGAGUGAUGAAGGCCUUCGGGUUGUAAAGCUCUGUCUUUGGGGACGAUAAUGACGGUACCCAAGGAGGAAGCCACGGCUAACUACGUGCCAGCAGCCGCGGUAAUACGUAGGUGGCAAGCGUUGUCCGGAUUUACUGGGCGUAAAGGGAGCGUAGGUGGAUGUUUAAGUGGGAUGUGAAAUACCUGGGCUUAACUUGGGUGCUGCAUUCCAAACUGGAUAUCUAGAGUGCAGGAGAGGAAAGUGGAAUUCCUAGUGUAGCGGUGAAAUGCGUAGAGAUUAGGAAGAACACCAGUGGCGAAGGCGACUUUCUGGACUGUAACUGACACUGAGGCUCGAAAGCGUGGGGAGCAAAC